rnacentral:lncRNA from 1 species
GCCAUGAUUAGGCUCGCAGACAUUUUGAAGAGUGAGAAAAAUGGAAUUUAUUGGGCAAAAAGGAAAAAAAGAGAAACAGGGACUCUCAGCAAAGCGAGAGUCCCCGCUAGCUGGUCUCCCCCUCACAGAUUGAAUCCUGGAUUCCACCUGAAACAGAAGAGGCCAGUCUCCUCCCCGCUGCAAAGGGCGUGAACUCCGUGGCUCCAGCCCAUUUUCCCAGUGCCCGCACAGUGGUUGGAGUUUCUCCGGGGACCGCUUUAUACUUGACUGUCUCAUUGCCAUGGCAUUUGUCAACUGUCGUGCUGCUGGUGGGAGUGUCUUUUAGUGUGCUAAUGUAUUAUUAUUAGUGUAUAAUGAGCCAUGAGGAUGACCAGAGGUCACUCUUGUCACCAUCUUGGUUUCGGUGGGAUUUGGCCGGCUUCUUUACUGCAUGCCAUUUUAUCCGCAAGGUCUUUAUAACCUGUAUCUUGUGCCGACCUCCUGUCUCAUCCUGUGACUAAGAAUGCCUAGCCUCCUGGGAAUGCCACCCAGUAGGUCUCAGCCUUAUUUUACCCAGCGGCUACUCAAGAUGGUUCAAAUGCCUCUGACAGUGGGAUGGAGCAGGUUCUCCCUUUGUAAGGGCCUGAGGGCCCAUGAAGCAUGGAAGUAAAGACAAAUCUUGAGUUCCUUCAAAGAAAAUUCCAGGCACCUGGAUGGCCACGAGAAGUCAAUGAGCAACUCGGUAAGUAAAAAGGUAAUGGUAGCUUAAAACAACAGCCGAGGAAGCUAGAGUCAUGAGAUGCUUGGCUUUCUAUGGGAACGAAAGAUAGCAUCUUAGCAUACGUCCCCGAGCUGUUUUUCAGGAACCCAGACCCCACCAAUCGGAUCUGCUGGCACGGACCUCAGGUAAGGGGAACUGAGGACUGAACUCUGACCAAUGUACUUUGUUCUAAAUUCCUUCCUGAGGGGCCUGGAGGAGGUCAUGCCCACAGACCAGAGCUAACAGUUUUUUUCUUUUGUCUCUAGACUUUUAAACAAAGCUUCCCUUCCUUAAC